rnacentral:ncRNA from 1 species
AUCAAGGAGUCUAACAUGUACGCAGGACAUCUCUCAUCGCGAGAAGAGGCGCACUCAGAGCAUAUACGGUGGAAUCCGAAAGAUGAUGCCUGAUCAGGAAGAAGUCAGGGGCAACCCUAAUGGAAUUCUGCAGCGAUUCUGACGAGCAAAUCGAUCGUCAGAAUUAUAGUAUAGUGGCGAAAGAUUAAUCGAAUCAUCUAAUAGCUGGUUUUCUCCGAAAUUUCUCUUAGGAUAGCUGGCACUCGGCCAUUCCGCACAAAACGCGUGUGAGUCUCAUAUAGUAAAGUGAAUGAUUAAAAAUCUAAAAAAAAACUUGGAACCGAAACGACCUCAAUCUAUUCUCAAACUUUGAGAUCUCUGACUUUCUUGAAAUCACGAGAAUCUCGGAUCAGAAUGCCAAGUGGCCAUUUUUGGUAAGCAGAACUGGAGCUGGAAUGAACCAAACGCAGAGUUAAGGCGCCCAACUCGACGCUCAUGGGACAUCAUGAAAGGUGUUGGUUGUUUAAGACAGCAGGACGAUGGCCAUGUUUGAAUUCAUUAAUGAGUGUAUAACAACUCACCUCGAAACAACUAGCUUUGAAAAUGAAUAUCGCUGAAAUGUCGAGCCUAUACUCAGCGGCAAGUGGGCGUCGCCAUGAAGCCCAGAAGAAGGCACGAGAGCCCAGACUAUCUAGAGCUACCGUCGGUGCAGAUCUUGGUGAUAGUAAUAAAUACUCCAAAGGCCCUGGAGGAUUGAUGUGGAGAAAAUUUCGUGUGAACAGGUCGUUGCACACGAGUCAGUUGAUCCUAAGCCUUAGGAGAAAUCCUGUGUCAAUGAAGGCGUACCAUUCUCUAGUGUACUACUCGAGCGAUUGCAAAGAAGAGAGAGAGAGAAAGAGAGAGAGAGAGAGAGAGAGAGAGAGAGAGAGAGAGUGAAACACGCCCGUCGGGUGGAAGGGAAUCCGGCUCCUAUUCCGGAACUAGCAGCGGAACCGUAUAAUUCGGGCCAUCGUAAGAGUGUGUUCGUCAGAGUAACCCAAAAUGACCUGGAGAUCCGGGAAAAAUUUUCUUUUCUGUAUAAGCAUUCGAAUUCCUUGGAAAGGAAUAAUCCCUCUAAUAGGGAGAUAGGGUUUGGAAUGCGAAGAACCGCAGUUGCGGCGGUGUCCGGAUCUUCUCCUCGGAAGAUUGACUUUGAAAAUCCAGGAGAAGGGCACAUCUAGGUGUCGCACCGGCUUAUACCUACAUCCGCAGCAGGUCUCCGAAAUAAAGAGCCUCGAUAGAUUAAUGUAGAUAGAUAAGGGAAAUUAUAAUAUAGGAAAUUAUAAUU